AUCACAUAAAAGCUUGUGUUGAGUGGUUGUCAGCACACACCUGCCACUAUUUAAGUCAGGUUUUGUGCUUACACUUCUAUUUGAGCCUUUAAGGGCCCAGCUACAGCUGAAGAAACCUCGCCCCAAAGCACGAUGCUGCCACCACCAUGUGUUUUUACCGUAGUGUUUGAGAAGGACUGGAAGUGACGUGUUGAGGAGACCCAGGAGGGACACGAAAAAGAGAGAAAAAAGAAAGCUGUUUGAAGAGAAAGAAAAGUUAAAGGCGGACAUUUAUCAACAUUGUUCAACGUGUUCGACAAGGAAUGUUGACAGUUCAAUGGUAAUAGUGUGUCGUUUGAGUGGACUACUCAAAUCAUGCUGUAACGUGGUGGAAUUAGCUGCUAAUACAGAGGCUAAGUGGAUGCGUGGAACUUUGCUAGGAUGCAAGCAACAAGCUAACGCCAGCUAGUGAGGCCUGCGUUGGAACACGUGGAAGAAGACAAGAACGCUAGCGACGAACUAAUGCUAGCAAGGCCUGCAUCGGUUUGAGAGGCCUGCAAUGGACUACAAGGACAAAGCUUCGCAACAGAUCGGACCGUCAGGACUUGGAUGAGGCUGGACGAUUGGACACAACCCUCAACGUCACAUUCGUCACUUCUGCCAUUUGAAACAAAGAUAUUGGGGUUUGAAUUUCAUUUGUUUUUCCGGCAAGGUUAUAUUUGUUUGGCCCCUUAAAGUACGUUAAGUCAGAUUAGUUUAGGUCUGCAUGGUGUACCUGUUAUGUUGACUUUAUUUGAUUGUUUGAUUUUCCAUCCUUUAUUUUAUUAAAUGUUCACCCUUUUUGUU